UAUUCGGUGAAGAGUGGUUAUAAAAUGCUAUUGAAUCAGUCCAUUGUGAAUGUCAAUAAGAAAAAGCAAUUCAAGCAGAUAUGGAGCUUAACAUGUCCAUCUAAAGUUCGUAUUUUAAUAUGGAAAUAUGUGAAAAAUUUUAUCCCAAAUUUUCAGAACUUAUAUUUUAGGAGACUGAUAUUCGAUGACCGUUGCCCAGGCUGUCGACAGUUCUGCGGGUCUUCAAUUCAUGCUAUUCGGGAUUGUAUGACCCCUGCACAAGUUUGGUCAAAGUUGAACAUUCAGUGGCCGAGUUCAAUGGAUAAUUCCAAUUUUAAGGAGUGGCUAAGUUGGUUGUUUGAAAAUUCCAAUAGUAAUAGAAAAGAAGAAAUUGCCAUUGCAAUUUGGGCGCUUUGGUUCUCUCGAAAUAGAUAUGUGCAUGAGAACAAAUUGCAAAGUGCUGAGGAAUUAGUUACCUUUAUUAGGGGUUUUGCUUUGGAGCAUCAGGAUUGCGCAUUGAUUCUGAAGCAUCCCAAGCCGAGAUCCAUGGUUGUAUGGAUGCCCCCUCCAUAAGGAUGGGUAAAAAUCAAUGUUGAUGCAAUGAUUUCUAUAGCAAAUAAUUGAGCAGUUUUGGGAUUUAUUAUCAGAAACGACGAAGGCGGUCGGGUUUUAAGGGUCAUAACCUGGUUCACUCAGUGGUAAUUGCUGAAGCAAUUGCAGUUCUUCACGGACUUCAAUUCGCCAUUGACAUGGGUUUUUCAAAAGUGGUCCUUAAGAGUGAUUCCAGGUUGGUAGUCCAAAAUAUUCAAAAGAGAAAUGAGGACUAUUCAGAAACCAGACCUUUUACCUGGGAUGUGCAGAAUUUGGCGAGGAACUUUUCUUAUUGUCAAUUCCAGUUUAUUGCGCGGGAAGGUAAUAAAGCAGCACAUGCAAUGGCGGCUAAGGGUUUGCGAGCCGAGGAGGACUUGCUGUGGGUUGAGGAUGCGCCUUUGAAAGCCAUGGAAGCGGUCGAUUAUGAUCGACGUUUCAGUCGACCACCAUAGUCUUUGCUUUGGUUUUGCUGUUUAGGUUGAGAAAUUCUGAAAUUUGGCUGACUGUCUCAACUAAUCUUCGUUCUCGGGGUGAUUUAUUACCGAGUUUAGGGGUUUUUUGCCGUUUAUUGGGAGGGUUCUUGGACAUGAGAAAAGCCUAAAAUUUGUUGGCUAGAGAGGAUGAUGUUUCUGUUUCCUUGUUCUUUCCGUUUUGUUUUUCUUCUUUUUGUUUUUGUUUAGUUCAUGUUGUGACUAUUUUUUGGAUCUUCUCCGGGUGGUUUUUUAGGCUUA
rnacentral:lncRNA from 1 species